rnacentral:rRNA from 1 species
UACGAAGGGGGCUAGCGUUGCUCGGAAUCACUGGGCGUAAAGCGCACGUAGGCGGAUUGCUAAGUCAGGGGUGAAAUCCUGGAGCUCAACUCCAGAACUGCCCUUGAUACUGGCGGUCUCGAGUCCGGGAGAGGUGAGUGGAACUGCGAGUGUAGAGGUGAAAUUCGUAGAUAUUCGCAAGAACACCGGUGGCGAAGGCGGCGCUCUGGACCGAGACUGACGCUGAGGCGCGAAAGCGUGGGGAGCAAACAGG